UUAAUAAUAUAAUCUGCUCAAUGAAUAUUAAAUAGCCGCAAUUUAGUGCUAAGGUAGCAUAAUCAUUUGUCUUUUAAAUAAAGACUAGUACAAAAGAUUCAACAUUCUAAUUUUUAUAUUAAAUAUUAAUUUUAAAUUUUUUCUAAAUGUAAAAAAACAUUUAUUUUAUAGAAAGACGACAAGACCCUAUUGAACUUAACUUAAGUUAAACUGGGGUAGUUAUUUAAUUAAUAUUUUAAAUAUAAUUUUUCUAUAAAAAUCCAUUAUAAUCGAAUUAUUCAGUUACCAUAGGGAUAACAGCGCAAUUAUAUUUUUAAGUUCUUAUAUAAAAAAUAGAUUACGACCUCGAUGUUGAAUUAAUAUCCUAAUUUUUAAAGCAAAUUUUAAUAAAGGAAGUCUGUUCGACUUUUAAAAAAUUACAUGAUUUGAGUUCAGACCGGUAUAAGCCAGGUCGGUUUCUAUCUUCUAUCAACUAUUCUUGUAGUACGAAAGGACCUAAGAAAUUAAUUUUAAUUAAUUUAUUUAGCAAAAAAAUGCAUUAGACUUAGAUUCUAAAAAAAC
rnacentral:rRNA from 1 species